GACGAACGCUGGCGGCGUGCUUAACACAUGCAAGUCGAACGGAAAGGCCCUUCGGGGUACUCGAGUGGCGAACGGGUGAGUAACACGUGGGUGAUCUGCCCUGCACUUUGGGAUAAGCCUGGGAAACUGGGUCUAAUACCGAAUAGGACCACGCGCUUCAUGGUGUGUGGUGGCAAGCUUUUGCGGUGUGGGAUGGGCCCGCGGCCUAUCAGCUUGUUGGUGGGGUAAUGGCCUACCAAGGCGACGACGGGUAGCCGGCCUGAGAGGGUGACCGGCCACACUGGGACUGAGAGACGGCCCAGACUCCUACGGGAGGCAGCAGUGGGGAAUAUUGCACAAUGGGCGCAAGCCUGAUGCAGCGACGCCGCGUGAGGGAUGACGGCCUUCGGGUUGUAAACCUCUUUCAAUAGGGACGAAGCGCAAGUGACGGUACCUAUAGAAGAAGCACCGGCCAACUACGUG
rnacentral:rRNA from 1 species